AACGAACGCUGGCGGCAUGCCUAACACAUGCAAGUCGAACGAGACCUUCGGGUCUAGUGGCGCACGGGUUCGUCACGCGUGGGAACCUGCCCUUAUGUUCGGAAUAACUCCCCGAAAGGGGUGCCAAUACCGGAUAAUGUCUUCGGCCCAAAGAUUUAUCGCCUUUGGAUGGGCCCUCGUUGGAUUAGCUAGUUGGUAGGGUAAAAGCCUACCAAGGCGACCAUCCAUAGCUGGUCUGAGAGGAUGAUCAGCCACACUGGGACGGAGACACGGCCCAGACUCCUACGGGAGGCAGCAGUGGGGAAUAUUGGACAGUGGGCGAAAGCCUGAUCCAGCAAGGACGGGUGAGUGAUGAAGGCAUUAGGGUUGUAAAGCGCUUUUACCCGGGAUGAUAAUGACAGUACCGGGAGAAUAAGCUCCGGCUAACUCCGUG
rnacentral:rRNA from 1 species